UACGUAGGAGGCAAGCGUUAUCCGGAAUGACUGGGCGUAAAGGGUGCGUAGGUGGUUUAGCAAGUUAGUAGCGUAACUCCGGAGCUUAACUUCGGAACUACUACUAAAACUGUUGAACUUGAGUGCAGGAGGGGCAACUGGAAUUCCUAGUGUAGCGGUGGAAUGCGUAGAUAUUGGGAGGAACACCAGUGGCGAAGGCGGCUUGCUGGACAGUAACUGACGCUGAGAUGCGAAAGCCAGGGUAGCGAACGGG
rnacentral:rRNA from 1 species